UAUUUCAGCCCUUUUCAAAUUGCCAUGGAAAUACGACUUGUGUUUCUCAUACUUAUCACGGGAGAAUCUACACUAGUACUUGGUCUGACUUGCUUACAAUGUGACAAUGUGCCCCAGCCUAGACACUGCAGGACAGUUGGAGAAUGCUUCAGAGGAGAGGUUUGUGGUGUAGAGAAAUUCACAAACAGUUUUGGAGAGGAACUAUUUAACGUUGGAUGUGUCGAAAAAUCG